ACUACGUGAGGCAGCAGUGAGGAAUAUUGGUCAAUGGCCGGAAGGCUGAACCAGCCAUGCCGCGUGAAGGUCAGUGCCCUAUGGGCGUUAAACUUCUUUUGUGCGGGAGCAAUAAUGGUCACGUGUGGCCAGACGAGAGUACCGUACGAAUAAGCAUCGGCUAACUCCGUGCAAGCAGCCGCGAGAAUACGGGGGAGGCAAGCGUUAUCCGGAGUUAUGGGGUUUAAAGGGUGCGUAGGCUGGGAGUUAAGUCAGCGGUGAAAUGCCCCCGCUCAACGGGGUGAAGUGCCAUUUAUACGGCCUUGCUGGAAUGCGGAUGCCGUGGGAGGAAUGUGUGGUGUAGCGGUGAAAUGCAUAGAUAUCACACAGAACACCGAUUGCGAAGGCAUCUCACGAAUCCGCGAUUGACGCUGAUGCACGAAAGCGUGGGUAUCAAACAGGAUUAGAUACCCUGGUAGUC
rnacentral:rRNA from 1 species